GGAUGUGCCCAGAUGGGAUUAGCUUGUAGGCGGGGUAACGGCCCACCUAGGCGACGAUCCCUAGCUGGUCUGAGAGGAUGACCAGCCACACUGGAACUGAGACACGGUCCAGACUCCUACGGGAGGCAGCAGUGGGGAAUAUUGCACAAUGGGCGCAAGCCUGAUGCAGCCAUGCCGCGUGUAUGAAGAAGGCCUUCGGGUUGUAAAGUACUUUCAGCGGGGAGGAAGGUGGUGAGGUUAAUAACCUCAUCAAUUGACGUUACCCGCAGAAGAAGCACCGGCUAACUCCGUGCCAGCAGCCGCGGUAAUACGGAGGGUGCAAGCGUUAAUCGGAAUUACUGGGCGUAAAGCGCACGCAGGCGGUCUGUUAAGUCAGAUGUGAAAUCCCCGGGCUUAACCUGGGAACUGCAUUUGAAACUGGCAGGCUUGAGUCUCGUAGAGGGGGGUAGAAUUCCAGGUGUAGCGGUGAAAUGCGUAGAGAUCUGGAGGAAUACCGGUGGCGAAGGCGGCCCCCU
rnacentral:rRNA from 1 species